AUAGUGGUCACAUAAAACAAAAGCAGUAACUACCUGAUUUCAGGGGAACUUAAUGUAAUUUUUUUGUAACUAGAAAAAAAAAACCUUGAGAAUAAUCAUGCUGGUCAUAAAGAGAUAUUAUAUGUGACAAUGGCACUUGUAUUUCAAGGACAAAGACUUAACAUUGGUAGGCUGUACUGUUCUGUCCUUCGGCUAAGCCUCCCCUCCCCCCAUGGCAUGCAGGUGCACGUGUGAGCGUGAGGUUUGGUGGCAUCAUUAUAGACACGAUUGCCAAACAGGAACCCAAGACCUCGGACAUGCCAGGCGAGCAGCCUACCACUGAGCCUCACCCUCAGCCCUCCCAGGGACUCUUCUUCAUGUUGGAAUAUACUCUCUGUUUUGAGCAGAUCUCAGUUUAUGAUCCUCCUGCCUUAGAAGCACUGAACUCACAGGUGUACACCAUCACACUCAGCUGUCAAUGUAUUUUAAAAAUAAUAAGGUAGAGAAUAAGCUUAGCAAUGUCUCAGAGCCCAAUUAUGCUGUUUUUAUGUAGAGUUUUAAGCUAAAUACGGAAUUCCAAAAAAGGGUUCUAAGAGCAUAAAGAGACUAUUUUUCAUGUGAGGAUGGUACAAACCUUACUUGGAAAGAGAAUGUCUGCACGAGCUGCUUUUUUUUACCCUCCCCCCCCCCAAUGGUCCCAUGUGGCUUUCACGUUGGCCUUAAAUUUCCUCUUGUAGUUGAGAAUGAGCUUUGAAUUCUUGAAUUUCUGAUUCUCCCAAGUUCGAGGAUUAUAAGUGUGCGCUACCACAGGCAUGCUGUUUUAGACUUUCUUGUAACAAAUCCCUUGGUUCAGUAGAAUGCCUAGGGGCAGUAUAACUUUUUAGUUCUAUUCUUUUUUUUUUUUUUUUUUGGUUUUUGUUUUAUUACAAGCACCCAAAAUUAUUUUCCCCUCCCAAAUUCUGCUUUAUUUAACCCUGGCUUUCUAUUUUCAGAAUGUGCACAUAUGUUUUUCAUUUCGACCGGCCAGAUUCAUCAAGGGAGUUGUACUGCUCUGGGUGAUUUCCUUUAGAAGAGCCACAUUAUGCCAUUGAGGAAGUGCUCUCUAAAAAUACUGAGGGUUUGCCGCCAUCAGCCCCGCCCCAGGGACAGCUGGGAGGCUCCUCUGUGCCCUGCAGCUGUUUGGAGCCCUCCCCAGGUCCUCUCCUCCCUUCAGGCAGGCCAGUGAGGGUUCUCCCUGUCCGAAUCCUACAGAAUCUACACCCAUUUGCUAGACCUAGAACAGCCUGCCCUGCCGUUAGGAUCAGGCAUGGGGUGAACCUGUAUGCCAGAAGCCAUCCUUUUUGGCUUGGCUUGGAUUACGGUGCUCUGAGAGUUUGGUCUCUUUAUACAGUUGUUAAGGGCAGAAGAGGAUCCCUCAAAGAAGGACCAGAGUAGCUUUGCAGUGGGCUUCAGGGAGGGCCUUUGUGAAGCGAGCCCCUGUCGGUCUGAGGUUACAAGCUCAUGAGUACACUUACCAAAGGAGACUAUUAUACUCUACUGUCCAGAAUGGUCAGUCCAGUGGAGACCCUGUUGCCCACCCUGAAGCUAUGCCUGAGGGUGCAGAAACUUCUGGAAACUCCCCUUCUACCUCUGCUCGGCCCCAUCUUAGCUUCCUCCAACGUUUAACUGUUAAUGUGAGGAAGUGGGCAAGAGGAACAGACUGGCUCCUGGUUUGGAGAUGGCUUGACUGUCUCUUUAGGCGUUAGGAAAAGUUGCUAUAAAUUGUCCCUCCAACAUCCUUGCCUAAGAAGUGCUCGCUUGCACCGGGUGACCUUGGCUUUUCACUGGGUUCAUUCGAAGUGGUUCCCACUCACAGAAAACUCUGGCUUAGAAGAGGCUUUCUGGAAUCCUGGGCAGCUGCUGUUUCCUAAUGGUGAUACAUGUGAUUUUUAAAAUUUAAACAAAGAGAAAGGGGCAGCCCCUUGUUAGAAAUAAAGAUGCGUGAUGAUACCAUAUUUUUAAAAGAAGUUUAUAAACAUCACAAAAUGAGUAUUUUGGUCAGGAUCCUGGUCAGAUAUUGCUCCAAUGAAGUUGGGGGUGGGGUGGGGUGGAGCAGCCUUGAGAAGCCUGGUUUAAGUCAGGAAAAGGUGAACAUAGCCUAAGUUUUAACUGAAAUCCAUAAAGCAAUGAUGAAAUCCUGCCGACCGAGGUUUCACCGGUAAAGGUAAAUUUGUAUUUGGUACUUAACAUCUCUGGAUGUGUUUUCCUAGGUCAAAUGUAUUUACAGUGUUAAAGCUUAAGUGGGAAGUGUGAGCAAAGCUGGAAAUGAGGAGAAACUGAGGCAGGCUCUCAGUUUUUAUGACUCUGAGACCAUAAAGUGUUAGCUGCCUCCAGCCUUCUUAGAUCAGUGCCCUCUGGACCUGCGUUCUAAACCUUGUCCAUCAGCUGCUGCUCUUGUACUGGCCUCGAGGGAGCCUUUUAUGGACCUGGGUCUGCCAAGAGACCUUGCUGUAAUUCCACUGGGCACCUGUUUUAAAUUACUUCUUUCCCAGGCAGCUUUGUCCUAUUAAAUGAAAGCGAGAUGUAGACUCGGUACCACAAACAGCCCAUGGACACAUGAGCCCAAGAAAGAAGCGCAGUUAAAAUGGCAGGUGGCAAAGGAUGCUGCUUGGUGUCUCUUAGCCUGUAAGCUCCGGGAGAGCAGGGACUGCGGGCUUCCUUGCGAUCUCUAGCGCCCCCUGUAGGUUCAUUCAGUAUGUAUUAUCUCGUGAUGACUCCUUUUUUUGAAGUGUGCUUCAGUUGUGGGCAGAAGAAUGUAAUUGGCCGGCUGACGUUUGAUGUUGUCCUUUUUGUUUCUGUCUCAAUGGCGUGCUUCCAGCAUUAGUCACAGAAGGGACAGAAGGAAGAGGCUGUUGGGAUGUGGAUCCCGGGCUCCAGGGUGUGGUAACCGACUUGGCAGUCUCUGAUGCAGGGGAGAAGGUAUUGUUAAUUGUUAACCAACUUGCUAGUAACCAGAACCUAUUGCUUUUGUAUACAAAGUAGAUUCAGCUCUCUGGCAAUGAGUGGAUUGAAAAUACCUUUUUCUGAAUUGUUUCUGAUUUAUUUAAAUAUCUAUAUUGAAACUUUCUAAACUAUUUCUUCUUUAAAUGUUCGUGGUUUUUAUAUAUCAUGUUAAAAAGAAAAUCAACUGAGACGUUAUUAAAAACCAAAACGAAAAGCUUGACAACCCUCCUGUGUAUAUGUGUGUCUGCACUCUCUGACUUCCGGCCUACUCUCUGCAUUGCAAACCUUUGCUUUUCUCACUGCUUCUGGCAACUCCCUGUUUGAGAGGUGACCCGACACUGGGACGCUUCACCACCAGAUGGCGCCCGUGAGCUGAACUGAUUUCCACUUUGGGACGUCUUGCUUCUGUUCUCUACUGUGAUCCUCUGCUCUUCACCUGUAUCCCACCUUCCUCUCGCAGACUUGGAAUCCACGUAACCACCCUUUGCCCGUGCUACGAUGUUCUCUGAUUCCUAAUAUAUGUAGGCUGGACCUCUCUGUGUAGAAAUUAUAUGCAUACAGCUUCCUAUU
rnacentral:lncRNA from 1 species